GAAAUGCUAUGAGACCUUGAAAUUUGGAGAUCCAAAAUACAAGAUAAGGUAGUGCCAUUCAGCAAUGUCAAGAUCUUCUGGCUUGUGUUUCAUUCUUACUGCGUAACCGUCGUACGCCUUGUAUGUGGCACUGAGUGAUGAUCUCCAUCCUUUGUAUCGCACCAUCGCGAUGGCCCAAAUCUUUUCCUUUUCAUCAUCAACAUCUACAAGCUCC
rnacentral:lncRNA from 1 species